UUUUAUGGAGAGUUUGAUCCUGGCUCAGGAUGAACGCUGGCGGCGUGCCUAAUACAUGCAAGUCGAGCGAACGGACGAGAAGCUUGCUUCUCUGAUGUUAGCGGCGGACGGGUGAGUAACACGUGGAUAACCUACCUAUAAGACUGGGAUAACUUCGGGAAACCGGAGCUAAUACCGGAUAAUAUUUUGAACCGCAUGGUUCAAAAGUGAAAGACGGUCUUGCUGUCACUUAUAGAUGGAUCCGCGCUGCAUUAGCUAGUUGGUAAGGUAACGGCUUACCAAGGCAACGAUGCAUAGCCGACCUGAGAGGGUGAUCGGCCACACUGGAACUGAGACACGGUCCAGACUCCUACGGGAGGCAGCAGUAGGGAAUCUUCCGCAAUGGGCGAAAGCCUGACGGAGCAACGCCGCGUGAGUGAUGAAGGUCUUCGGAUCGUAAAACUCUGUUAUUAGGGAAGAACAUAUGUGUAAGUAACUGUGCACAUCUUGACGGUACCUAAUCAGAAAGCCACGGCUAACUACGUGCCAGCAGCCGCGGUAAUACGUAGGUGGCAAGCGUUAUCCAGAAUUAUUGGGCGUAAAGCGCGCGUAGGCGGUUUUUUAAGUCUGAUGUGAAAGCCCACGGCUCAACCGUGGAGGGUCAUUGGAAACUGGAAAACUUGAGUGCAGAAGAGGAAAGUGGAAUUCCAUGUGUAGCGGUGAAAUGCGCAGAGAUAUGGAGGAACACCAGUGGCGAAGGCGACUUUCUGGUCUGUAACUGACGCUGAUGUGCGAAAGCGUGGGGAUCAAACAGGAUUAGAUACCCUGGUAGUCCACGCCGUAAACGAUGAGUGCUAAGUGUUAGGGGGUUUCCGCCCCUUAGUGCUGCAGCUAACGCAUUAAGCACUCCGCCUGGGGAGUACGACCGCAAGGUUGAAACUCAAAGGAAUUGACGGGGACCCGCACAAGCGGUGGAGCAUGUGGUUUAAUUCGAAGCAACGCGAAGAACCUUACCAAAUCUUGACAUCCUUUGACAACUCUAGAGAUAGAGCCUUCCCCUUCGGGGGACAAAGUGACAGGUGGUGCAUGGUUGUCGUCAGCUCGUGUCGUGAGAUGUUGGGUUAAGUCCCGCAACGAGCGCAACCCUUAAGCUUAGUUGCCAUCAUUAAGUUGGGCACUCUAAGUUGACUGCCGGUGACAAACCGGAGGAAGGUGGGGAUGACGUCAAAUCAUCAUGCCCCUUAUGAUUUGGGCUACACACGUGCUACAAUGGACAAUACAAAGGGCAGCGAAACCGCGAGGUCAAGCAAAUCCCAUAAAGUUGUUCUCAGUUCGGAUUGUAGUCUGCAACUCGACUACAUGAAGCUGGAAUCGCUAGUAAUCGUAGAUCAGCAUGCUACGGUGAAUACGUUCCCGGGUCUUGUACACACCGCCCGUCACACCACGAGAGUUUGUAACACCCGAAGCUGGUGGAGUAACCUUUUAGGAGCUAGCCGUCGAAGGUGGGACAAAUGAUUGGGGUGAAGUCGUAACAAGGUAGCCGUAUCGGAAGGUGCGGCUGGAUCACCUCCUUUCUAA
rnacentral:rRNA from 1 species